rnacentral:rRNA from 1 species
AACGAACGUUAGCGGCGCGCUUAACACAUGCAAGUCGAACGAGAAAGGGCUUCGGCCCCGGUACAGUGGCGCACGGGUGAGUAACACGUGGGUAAUCUACCCUCGAGCGGGGGAGUAACGUUCCGAAAGGAGCGCUAAUACCGCAUAAGACCACGCUCUCGAAAGGGAGCGAGGUAAAAGUAGGCCUCUGAAUUCACGCUUACACUCGAGGAUGAGCCCGCGGCCCAUCAUGGUAGUUGGUAGGGUAAUGGCCUACCAAGCCGAAGACGGGUAGCUGGUCGUUAGAGGAUGAUCAGCCACACUGGAACUGAGACACGGUCCAGACUCCUACGGGAGGCAGCAGUGGGGAAGUCUUGCGCAAUGGGCGAAAGCCUGACGCAGCGACGCCGCGUGGGUGAUGAAGGCC